CCUACGGGUGGCAGCAGUGAGGAAUAUUGGUCAAUGGCCGGAAGGCUGAACCAGCCAAGCCGCGUGAGGGAGGAAGGCGCUGUGCGUUGCAGACUUCUUUUGUCGGGGGAUAAAAGGCCGGACUUGUCCGUUUCUGAGGGUACCCUAUGAAUAAGCAUCGGCUAACUCCGUGCCAGCAGCCGCGGUAAUACGGAGGAUUCGAGCGUUAUCCGGAUUUAUUGGGUUUAAAGGGUGCGUAGGGGGGCUUUUAAGGCAGGGGUGAAAUUUUGCGGCUCAACCCUACCAUUGCGGUUGAAACUGGAAGCCUUGAGUGCGGCGGAGGCAUGCGGAAUGCGCGGUGUAGCGGUGAAAUGCAUAGAUAUCACGAAGAACCCCGAUUGCGAAGGCAGCGUACCAAGCCGCAACUGACACUGAGGCACGAAAGCGCGGGGAUCAAACAGGAUUAGAUACCCUAGUAGUC
rnacentral:rRNA from 1 species